ACGAACCGUCCUAACGUUAUUCGGAAUCACUGGGCUUAAAGGGUGCGUAGGCGGCCUGGUAAGUUGGGUGUGAAAUCCCUCGGCUUAACCGAGGAAUUGCGCUCAAGACUGCCCGGCUCGAGGGAGACAGAGGUGAGCGGAACUUAGGGUGGAGCGGUGAAAUGCGUUGAUAUCCUAAGGAACACCGGUGGCGUAAGCGGCUCACUGGGUCUUUUCUGACGCUGAGGCACGAAAGCUAGGGGAGCGAACGG
rnacentral:rRNA from 1 species